rnacentral:misc_RNA from 1 species
AGGUAGGGCACAGGGACCGAGACUCCGAGGAACUAAGGGGACAUAUCCGCCAUGGCUUUACCCAUACAGGCACAGCCCGGACAAGGGGGGCAGUGGAUGCAGUCGCCCCAGGGCAUAACGGGAAUUCCCCCGGGUCUGGAGUAUAUGAGCGCCCUGGACCAAAUCAUCGUGAAACAGAAGAUUGAGAUUUUGGAAUUGCUCACCGGUUGUGAAAUGAGAAACAAAUAUGAUGUUCUAAACAGCGUGGGACAGCAAUGCUAUUAUGCAGAGGAAGGAAGUGAUGAGAAUCAGCCAUGACUUUGUCUGCUGCGUGGGUUGUUGUUGGUGUGCCACGGAUUCUUCCUGCGGCUAUGAGGUCAAAAUCGAAGCUCCAGUUGGAAACAUCAUUGGCUAUGCCAAACAACAGUCUUCGAAGUGGAAACCCCACAUAAGAGUUUUUGACGCUAACCGCCAGCCGAUGUACGUGGUGAGGGGACCCUGCUGUUGGGGCUGUCAGAACUGCUUCUGUACGGACGACAUCGACUUCCCCAUAACAGACUUGACUGAGCAGAACGUACUGGGCCGGAUGUUCAAACGCUGGGCCGGAUGUGGGCGUGAAAUGUUCACAGACGCCGACACUUUCGGUGUCACCUUUCCGGCAGACAUGGCCAUCACAAGCAAAGCCCUAUUGUUUGGAACACUCUUUUUAGUGGAUUUCCUUUAUUACGAACAACAAAAGAACAACAACAACAACUAAAGGAGAAAAAAGAGAUACAGGAGACAAGCAGGAAUUAUCAGCAAAGACAUUACUAUAUUCGAAGAUAUUAAGUAACAAUCGACUUAACUUUUCAUGUACUAUAGUAGUGUAAUUAGAACAUGUUUUAUUUUUAUACAGUGUACAAGAAUAUGGAGAAAUUGUAUUUACAUUUCCUGUGAUAGUAUUGGUACAAUUAUUUUUAAGGUUUAUCAACGUGUAUCUUUAUGUUACUUUGGAUCUGAUGACGUUUUUUUUUUCAUUGUUUUUAAUACAUUCCAACUUAGUUUAUACUUUUUUGUGAAAAUAUUCACUCAAUUUAUCUAAAAGACAUUUUCCUCAUAUCUCAGUGAUAUCUGAAGGUAAUAUAGCCCGUGCCAGUUUUUACCGUGAUUGUAUGCAUGAGUGAUUUGUAGAGUUUAUUUUAUUAAAAAUGAAAAUGUAUAUAAAACAACUGUUG